AAUUUAAACUUUAUCGAGGAACAAUUGGAGGGCAAGUCUGGUGGACNUUCAGCUCCCAUUCUGCUGACGCCAGAGAUAGUCGGGCAUCGUCAAGAUGUUAUGCCGGCUAGUCGAUGUACCCGCUUAAUUGAUGGGAGGGUACCGGCAAGACAACCUGGAUCGGGGAAAGCUAAGGUAUCUGCAAGAUGCUAUGCUGAUCCCGAGCAGAGCUGCCACGGAGCGAUCUGUGGACAGCCUGUGUAGAGCACGCUAAGGUGUCGGCCAACUCACGUAGUUGGCUUAAGGGACGUGCCAUUCCCACUUGAAAGAGUGGCUGUUAGCAAUAGCGCCCAUCACGCGAAGGCUAACAGAUCAAACAAAGCGCAUGCGAUGUUUGAAGUUUCAAUAGGCCAGCAGCCGCGGUAAUUCCAGCUCCAAUAGCGUAUAUUAAAGUUGUUGCAGUUAAAAAGCUCGUAGUUGAACCUUGGGCCUGGCUGGCAGGUCCGCCUCACCGCGUGUACUUGUCCGGCCGGGCCUUCCUUCUGGAGAACCUCAUGCCCUUCACUGGGCGUGUUGGGGACCAGAACUUUUACUUUGAAAAAAUUAGAGUGUUCAAAGCAGGCCUUUGCUCGAAUACGUUAGCAUGGAAUAAUAAAAUAGGACGUGCGGUCCUAUUUUGUUGGUUUCUAGGACCGCCGUAAUGAUUAAUAGGGACAGUCGGGGGCAUCAGUAUUCAAUUGUCAGAGGUGAAAUUCUUGGAUUUAUUGAAGACUAACUACUGCGAAAGCAUUUGCCAAGGAUGUUUUCAUUAAUCAGUGAACGAAAGUUAGGGGAUCGAAGACGAUCAGAUACCGUCGUAGUCUUAACCGUAAACUAUGCCGACUAGGGAUCGGGCGAUGUUCUUUUUCUGACUCGCUC
rnacentral:rRNA from 1 species